GUGAAGUUUUAACGGCCGCGGUACCCUGACCGUGCAAAGGUAGCAUAAUCACUUGCCUUUUAAUUGAAGGCUAGAAUGAACGAAUAAACAAGAGAACCCCUGUCUCUAUCCAGGACUAUAAAAAUUAGUCUUCAGGUGAAGAAACCUGAAUUUAUUAAAAAGACAAGAAGACCCUUUUGAGUUUUAUUACCUCUAUAUUACUUAUUUUUCUAUUUAUCUCCAGUAAUUUGGUUGGGGCGACCAAGGAAAAUAUCUAUCUUCCUUUUUUUUGAAGGCAUAUAUGCCUAAAACUUGACCCUCUAUUGAUCAACAGAACUAACUACCAUAGGGAUAACAGGCUUAUCUUCUUUGAGAGCCCAAAUUGACAAGAAGGUCUGGCACCUCGAUGUUGGCUUAAGGUACCCUUUAAAAGCAGAAAUUUAAAACGGUUAGUUUGUUCAACUAGUAAUACCU
rnacentral:rRNA from 1 species